CCUACGGGUGGCUGCAGUGGGGAAUAUUGGACAAUGGGCAAAAGCCUGAUCCAGCAACGCCGCGUGCGCGAUGACGGCCUUCGGGUUGUAAAGCGCUUUUAGGAGAGAUGAGAAAGGACAGUAUCUCCAGAAUAAGCCUCGGCGAACUACGUGCCAGCAGCCGCGGUAAAACGUAGGAGGCAAGCGUUAUCCGGAUUUAUUGGGCGUAAAGCGUGUGCAGGCGGUUUGGUAAGUUGGAUGUGAAAGCUCCCGGCUUAACUGGGAGAGGUCGUUCAAAACUGCCAGACUAGAGAAUGGAAGAGGGAGGUGGAAUUCCGGGUGUAGUGGUGAAAUGCGUAGAUAUCCGGAGGAACACCAGUGGCGAAAGCGGCCUCCUAGGCCAUUUCUGACGCUCAGACACGAAAGCUAGGGUAGCAAACGGGAUUAGAUACCCCAGUAGUC
rnacentral:rRNA from 1 species